AGCUCUAAUAGCGUAUAUUAAAGUUGUUGCGGUUAAAAAGCUCGUAGUUGAAUCUUGGCGCGGCAGGGGUCGGUCCGCCCACUGGGCGUGCGCCGGCUCGGCCGUGCUCUGCUGCCAGAUACGCGCCGGUGCACUUAACUGUGUGCCGGUCAGGUUUCGGCCGGCGUUCUGGCUCUUUUACUUUGAGUAAAUUAGAGUGUUCAAAGCAGGCAAAUCUUUCAGCCACUGAAUACAUUAGCAUGGGAUAAUGGAAUAGGACUUUGGUUCUAUUUUGUUGGUUUCUAGGACCGAAGUAAUGAUUAAUAGGGACAGUUGGGGGCAUUAGUAUUUAAUUGUCAGAGGUGAAAUUCUUGGAUUUAUUAAAGACGAACUACUGCGAAAGCAUUUGCCAAGGAUGUUU
rnacentral:rRNA from 1 species